rnacentral:rRNA from 1 species
AACGAACGCUGGCGGCAGGCCUAACACAUGCAAGUCGAGCGAGGACUUCGGUCCUAGCGGCGGACGGGUGAGUAACGCGUGGGAACGUGCCCUUUGCUUCGGAAUAGCCCUGGGAAACUGGGAGUAAUACCGGAUGAGCCCUUUGGGGGAAAGAUUUAUCGGCGAAGGAUCGGCCCGCGUUGGAUUAGGUAGUUGGUGGGGUAAUGGCCUACCAAGCCGACGAUCCAUAGCUGGUUUGAGAGGAUGAUCAGCCACACUGGGACUGAGACACGGCCCAGACUCCUACGGGAGGCAGCAGUGGGGAAUCUUAGGCAAUGGGGGAAACCCUGAUCUAGCCAUGCCGCGUGAGCGAUGAAGGCCUUAGGGUUGUAAAGCUCUUUCAGCUGGGAAGAUAAUGACGGUACCAGCAGAAGAAGCCCCGGCUAACUCCGUG